CCUGACUUAUAGAGUCUUUGCAGGUGCAGGUAUCAGUGGUGUAUCACAUGUGUGUCAGUAAGUGUCAGAAAAGAGAAACACUAUGUCUGCCCAGUAUUUGAAUUUGUAAAUAUCAGAAUAAUCAGUUUUCAUU
ensembl:snoRNA LOC120102725 small nucleolar RNA SNORA17